rnacentral:rRNA from 1 species
CGCGAAGAACCUUACCUGGGCUCGAACGGUUGACGACGCCCGCUAGAAAUAGUGGGGUUUCCUUCGGGAACGGCAAUCGAGGUGCUGCAUGGCUGUCGUCAGCUCGUGUCGUGAGAUGUUGGGUUAAGUCCCGCAACGAGCGCAACCCUUGUCCUGUGUUGCUAAUCUUCGGAUGCACUCUCAGGAGACCGCCAGCGACAAGCUGGAGGAAGGUGGGGAUGACGUCAAGUCAGCAUGGCCUUUAUGUCCAGGGCUACACACGUACUACAAUGGGCAGGACAAUGCGUUGCCAACCCGCGAGGGGGAGCUAAUCGUAUAAACCUGUUCUCAGUUCGGAUUGCAGGCUGCAACUCGCCUGCAUGAAGCUGGAAUCGCUAGUAAUGGCAGAUCAGCAUGCUGCCGUGAAUACGUUCCCGGGCCUUGUACACACCG